CCUACGGGCGGCUGCAGUGGGGAAUAUUGGACAAUGGGGGGAACCCUGAUCCAGCCAUGCCGCGUGUGUGAAGAAGGCCCUCGGGUUGUAAAGCACUUUCAGUGAGGAAGAACGCCUGGUGGUUAAUACCCAUCAGGAAAGACAUCACUCACAGAAGAAGCACCGGCUAACUCCGUGCCAGCAGCCGCGGUAAUACGGAGGGUGCGAGCGUUAAUCGGAAUUACUGGGCGUAAAGCGCGCGUAGGUGGCUUGAUUAGCCGGUUGUGAAAGCCCCGGGCUCAACCUGGGAACGGCAUCCGGAACUGUCAAGCUAGAGUGCAGGAGAGGAAGGUAGAAUUCCCGGUGUAGCGGUGAAAUGCGUAGAGAUCGGGAGGAAUACCAGUGGCGAAGGCGGCCUUCUGGACUGACACUGACACUGAGGUGCGAAAGCGUGGGUAGCAAACAGGAUUAGAUACCCCAGUAGUC
rnacentral:rRNA from 1 species